ACCAAGCUGACAGUCACAUAAAUUCCCUGACAUACUGCCCAACUUAUUUAUGUUUCCUUCACUAAAAACUUAGGAAAAAAUGACCUUCUAUAGUAAGGACACUAGAAUAGGUUGCCAAGAGGAACACUGUGGAACUACAUUCUCAGAGAAAUUCAGAACCUGACUGUACAUGGCCCUGAGCAUCCUGAUCUGGCUGAGUCCGCUCUGAGCAGGAGCAUGAAGCAAGCACACAAGAGA